GUCUUAUUGAUAAUAAUUUUAAGUCGACCUGCCCAAUGAAAGUUAUUGAAUGGCUGCAGUAUAACUGACUGUACGAAGGUAGCAUAAUCAAUUGAUUUUUAAAUGAAAUCUGGAAUGAAAGGAUUAAUGAAAUAUAUACUGUCUCACGUAUAUCACAUGAAAUUAAAAUUUUAAUUAAAAUGUUAAAAUUUAUUUAUGGGACGAUAAGACCCUAUAGAAUUUUAUAUCGUUAUAUUUUAAUACUUAAUAUAAAUCAUGUACCGAUAUUUGGUUGGGAGGACUAUUAAAUUUAACAAACUUUAAUUUUUGCGAACUUUGAUUUAAGAGAAACUAAAUAAUGAUCUUUAAAUUAAAAUAUUUAGAUUAAAUUACCUUAGGGAUAACAGCGUAAUACUUUUUUAUAGGUCACAUAGAAAAAAGUGAUUGCGACCUCGAUGUUGAAUUAAGAUAAAUUUUGGACGCAGGAGUCUAAUAAUUAAGUCUGUUCGACUUUUAAAAUCUUACAUGAUUUGAGUUCAAAUCGACGUAAGU
rnacentral:rRNA from 1 species